GUUGUAUGGUUAAGUGACUAAGCGUACACGGUGGAUGCCUUGGCAGUCAGAGGCGAUGAAGGACGUAGUAACUUGCGAUAAGCUCAGAUUAGGCAGUAACAGCCACUUGAGUCUGAGAUUUCCGAAUGGGGAAACCCAACUGCAUAAGCAGUUACUGUUAACUGAAUACAUAGGUUAACAGGGCGAACCGGGGGAACUGAAACAUCUAAGUACCCCGAGGAGAAGAAAUCAACCGAGAUUCCGAUAGUAGCGGCGAGCGAAAUUGGAUUAGCCCUUAAGCUUUACAUGCGUCAGGUGAAGGUUCUGGAAAGGACCGCGAAACAGGGUGAUAGCCCCGUAGCCGACAGCGCAUGUUCAGUGAAAUCGAGUAGGGCGGGACACGUGUUAUCCUGUCUGAAUAUGGGGGGACCAUCCUCCAAGGCUAAAUACUCCUGACUGACCGAUAGUGAACCAGUACCGUGAGGGAAAGGCGAAAAGAACCCCUGUGAGGGGAGUGAAAUAGAACCUGAAACCGUGUACGUACAAGCAGUAGGAGCCUCCUUUGUGGGGUGACUGCGUACCUUUUGUAUAAUGGGUCAGCGACUUAUAUUCAGUGGCAAGGUUAACCAUAUAGGGGAGCCGUAGGGAAACCGAGUCUUAACUGGGCGUUCAGUCUCUGGAUAUAGACCCGAAACCGGGUGAUCUAGCCAUGGGCAGGUUGAAGGUUGAGUAACAUCAACUGGAGGACCGAACCGACUAAUGUUGAAAAAUUAGCGGAUGACUUGUGGCUAGGGGUGAAAGGCCAAUCAAACUCGGAGAUAGCUGGUUCUCCCCGAAAGCUAUUUAGGUAGCGCCUCGGACGAAUACUACUGGGGGUAGAGCACUGUUAAGGCUAGGGGGUCAUCCCGACUUACCAACCCUUUGCAAACUCCGAAUACCAGUAAGUAAUAUCCGGGAGACACACGGCGGGUGCUAACGUCCGUCGUGGAGAGGGAAACAACCCAGACCGCCAGCUAAGGUCCCAAAUUACAGCUAAGUGGGAAACGAUGUGGGAAGGCUCAGACAGCUAGGAUGUUGGCUUAGAAGCAGCCAUCAUUUAAAGAAAGCGUAAUAGCUCACUAGUCGAGUCGGCCUGCGCGGAAGAUGUAACGGGGCUAAGCUGUAAACCGAAGCUGCGGCAAUGCGAUUUAUCGUAUUGGGUAGGGGAGCGUUCUGUAAGCCGUUGAAGGUGUGUUGUAAAGCAUGCUGGAGGUAUCAGAAGUGCGAAUGCUGACAUGAGUAACGACAAGGGGGGUGAAAAACCUCCCCGCCGGAAGACCAAGGGUUCCUGUCCAACGUUAAUCGGGGCAGGGUAAGUCGACCCCUAAGGCGAGGCUGAAAAGCGUAGUCGAUGGGAAACGGGUUAAUAUUCCCGUACUUCUUACAAUUGCGAUGGGGGGACGGAGAAGGCUAGGUGGGCCUGGCGACGGUUGUCCAGGUUCAAGUGCGUAGGCUUAAGAGUUAGGUAAAUCCGGCUCUUUUUAAGGCUGAGACACGACGUCGAGCACCUACGGGUGUGAAGUCAUUGAUGCCAUGCUUCCAGGAAAAGCCUCUAAGCUUCAGAUUGUAAGGAAUCGUACCCCAAACCGACACAGGUGGUCGGGUAGAGAAUACCAAGGCGCUUGAGAGAACUCGGGUGAAGGAACUAGGCAAAAUGGUACCGUAACUUCGGGAGAAGGUACGCUCUUGAUGGUGAAGUCCCUCGCGGAUGGAGCUGAUGAGAGUCGCAGAUACCAGGUGGCUGCAACUGUUUAUUAAAAACACAGCACUGUGCAAAAUCGUAAGAUGACGUAUACGGUGUGACGCCUGCCCGGUGCCGGAAGGUUAAUUGAUGGGGUUAGACUUCGGUCGAAGCUCUUGAUCGAAGCCCCGGUAAACGGCGGCCGUAACUAUAACGGUCCUAAGGUAGCGAAAUUCCUUGUCGGGUAAGUUCCGACCUGCACGAAUGGCGUAAUGAUGGCCACGCUGUCUCCACCCGAGACUCAGUGAAAUUGAAAUCGCUGUGAAGAUGCAGUGUACCCGCGGCUAGACGGAAAGACCCCGUGAACCUUUACUACAGCUUGGCACUGAACAUUGAACCUACAUGUGUAGGAUAGGUGGGAGGCUUUGAAGACGUGACGCCAGUUGCGUUGGAGCCGACCUUGAAAUACCACCCUUGUAUGUUUGAUGUUCUAACUUAGACCCGUUAUCCGGGUUGAGGACAGUGCCUGGUGGGUAGUUUGACUGGGGCGGUCUCCUCCCAAAGAGUAACGGAGGAGCACGAAGGUGGGCUAAUCACGGUUGGACAUCGUGAGGUUAGUGCAAUGGCAUAAGCCCGCUUAACUGCGAGAAUGACGGUUCGAGCAGGUGCGAAAGCAGGUCAUAGUGAUCCGGUGGUUCUGAAUGGAAGGGCCAUCGCUCAACGGAUAAAAGGUACUCCGGGGAUAACAGGCUGAUACCGCCCAAGAGUUCAUAUCGACGGCGGUGUUUGGCACCUCGAUGUCGGCUCAUCACAUCCUGGGGCUGAAGUCGGUCCCAAGGGUAUGGCUGUUCGCCAUUUAAAGUGGUACGCGAGCUGGGUUUAGAACGUCGUGAGACAGUUCGGUCCCUAUCUGCCGUGGGCGUUGGAAGAUUGAAGGGGGCUGCUCCUAGUACGAGAGGACCGGAGUGGACGAACCUCUGGUGUUCGGGUUGUGUCGCCAGACGCAUUGCCCGGUAGCUAAGUUCGGAAUCGAUAACCGCUGAAAGCAUCUAAGCGGGAAGCGAGCCCUGAGAUGAGUCUUCCCUGAUACUUUAAGUAUCCUAAAGGGUUGUUCGAGACUAGAACGUUGAUAGGCAGGGUGUGUAAGCGUUGUGAGGCGUUGAGCUAACCUGUACUAAUUGCCCGUGAGGCUUAACCAUACAACACCCAAGGGGUUUUGUA
rnacentral:rRNA from 1 species